UACGUAGGGGGCUAGCGUUGUCCGGAAUCAUUGGGCGUAAAGAGCGUGUAGGCGGCUUGGUAAGUCCGCUGUGAAAGUCCAGGGCUCAACCCUGGAAUGCCAGUGGAUACUGUCAAGCUAGAGUCCGGAAGAGGCGAGUGGAAUUCCUGGUGUAGCGGUGAAAUGCGCAGAUAUCAGGAGGAACACCUGUGGCGAAAGCGGCUCACUGGACCACAACUGACGCUGAGGCGCGAAAGCGUGGGGAGCAAACAGG
rnacentral:rRNA from 1 species